CCUCCGGGGGGCUGCAGUGAGGAAUCUUGGUCAAUGGGCGCGAGCCUGAACCAGCCAAGUAGCGUGAAGGAUGCCUGCCCUACGGGUUGUAAACUUCUUUUAUAAAGGAAUAAAGUGAGGCACGUGUGCCUUUUUGUAUGUACUUUAUGAAUAAGGAUCGGCUAACUCCGUGCCAGCAGCCGCGGUAAUACGGAGGAUCCGAGCGUUAUCCGGAUUUAUUGGGUUUAAAGGGAGCGUAGAUGGUUUGUUAAGUCAGUUGUGAAAGGUUGCGGCUCAACCGUGAAAUUGCAAUUGAUAAUGGCAUUUUUGAGUAGAGUUGAGGUAGGCGGAAUUCGGGGUGUAGCGUGGAAAUGCUUAGAUAUGACGAAGAACUCCGAUUGCGAAGGCAGAUUACUAAACUGCCACUGACAUUGAUGCUCGAAAGUGUGGGUAUCAAACAGGAUUAGAUACCCUAGAGUC
rnacentral:rRNA from 1 species